UACGUAGGGGGCAAGCGUUGUCCGGAAUUAUUGGGCGUAAAGAGCGCGUAGGCGGUCCGAUAAGUCGGCUGUGAAAGCCAGGGGCUCAACCCUUGAAAGCCGGCCGAUACUGUCGGACUAGAGUCCGGAAGAGGCAAGUGGAAUUCCCGGUGUAGCGGUGAAAUGCGCAGAUAUCGGGAGGAACACCAAUGGCGAAGGCAGCUUGCUGGGACGGUACUGACGCUGAGGCGCGAAAGCGUGGGGAGCAAACAGG
rnacentral:rRNA from 1 species